CCUACGGGAGGCAGCAGUGAGGAAUAUUGGUCAAUGGGCGCAAGCCUGAACCAGCCAAGUCGCGUGAGGGAUGACGGUCCUAUGGAUUGUAAACCUCUUUUGUCGGGGAGCAAAGCGCGGUACGAGUACCGUGAAGGAGAGUACCCGAAGAAAAAGCAUCGGCUAACUCCGUGCCAGCAGCCGCGGUAAUACGGAGGAUGCGAGCGUUAUCCGGAUUUAUUGGGUUUAAAGGGUGCGUAGGCGGAUUAGUAAGUCAGCGGUAAAAAUGCGGUGCUCAACGCCGUAUCGCCGUUGAAACUGCGGGUCUUGAGUGAGCGAGAAGUAUGCGGAAUGCGUGGUGUAGCGGUGAAAUGCAUAGAUAUCACGCAGAACUCCGAUUGCGAAGGCAGCAUACCGGCGCUCAACUGACGCUGAGGCACGAAAGCGUGGGGAUCGAACAGGAUUAGAUACCCCAGUAGUC
rnacentral:rRNA from 1 species